ACACCCACAUACUUUCCUUCCCAAUCCCUUUUUCUUUCUCUGCAGAUCUUAUCUUCAAUAAAUAUAAACACAGAGAACUCAUGCUCUCGAUUACACACAAAUAAAACAAUACAUAGUCUCAUCUUCACAAUCAGAUGACUCGCAAACCACCCCCUCCCACUUGAUGUCCCUACCAGUGAGCACAGGGGAGUCCGAUUGGACUCCGGUGACGUUCUUCUCCGACCACACACUCACCUCCAACCUCCGUUCUUCUUAUACCCCCAACCCCUCUUCGCCUGAAACCCACCACACGACCAUCCCUCCUCCACCCACUCGCUCGUCUCUCACCUGAAAUAGGAACGGCCGGCCACCACCAUCUGGUGGUGGCGCACAACGGCUUGACGACGCAGAAAGAGAGAGACAGAUGAGAGAGAGGGACAGAUGAGAGAGAAAGUUACAUGGGAGUUGGUGGCCGGCGGAGACGUCGGAACCUCGCCGACAACGGCGGUGACGGCAGUGGUUGAGGUGAUCGAGUGAGAAAAAAAAAGAAGGAAGUCGUCGUUUCCGGCGACGGCAUCACUGUUCACAGCAGCAGCGGCGGCGGUCUUCGGUUUUUGUACGACAAAAUUCCGAUUCAAGAUUGUUUUGGUUCAGAUUUGGUACAAGUUUGGUUCGGCUCGGGUUUGGUAAAAGGUCGUCAACAUCAGAAUGCUUUCGGUUUAGUUCUAGUUGUUGGUUCGGGUCACGGUCAACACUGGUCAAAGUCAGUCAACUGGUCAGCCUCGGUUCCGGUUCAGUCAACAAGUCAAACCGGGUCGACUCGGGUCAAACCGGGUCGACUUGGUCAAUACACGGUCACUAUUCAACACGGGUCAGACCCGGUCAACGCAGUCAAGACCCGGUCAACGCAGUCAAAACCCGGUCAACUCAGGACCCGGUAACGUUUAGUCGAAGCUAGUUAUUAUACGUUAGUUAGAUUUUAUAUAGUUAAACGUGAAACCGAGCUCGACCGAUACCUUUAGCGACUAUUUACAUUUUAUUUUGGCGUAAUUGAUAAAAUUGUAGUA